AGACAGUGAGUAGAGCUGAGGUGCUUCCUCUCCUGGGCUGCAGCAUUAGAAGGACGGGUGUAUGUUUGGUUUCCUGGCAUGGAGGUUGCCAAGGAAGCAGAGUCUCCUCCACAACCAUCUGCUUUGUCUCGUACGGCAUCAAAUAUGUCAAGGAGAUUUCUCCCCUGGGCCAUCAUGUAGACGCUUGCUGCUCAGGACCAUCUUGCAGAACCUUUGGGGCUAAGAGAAGGGCAUUUUCCUCCUUAUUGGAAGCAGCAUUGCUGUGCAAUGCAGGCAGGCUGGGAAGGACCACGGAGCCUCAUGUGGUGGAAGAACACCACCAGCCUGCCUUGGAGACUGCUGCUUUCUAUCCUGCUAUAUUUCAAGAGGGCUUUAGUAACUCUUGGGUCCUCUUAAAACAGAUUGUCUGAUUCUUGGCAGUAUAUUCUGAGCAUCUGAUUUGUUUCGUGGCACAGAAGCAUUUGUGGACCAUGAUGUUUCUAUGUCAACACGAGCUUGAGGAGGUAAUAUUUCCCCCAGAAGCGGUAGGUGUUAGAAUCCAGAUCGGAGCUCUCUCCACAUCAUUAUUCUCAGUAAAGGACUAUCUCAAUAA